AUAGGGAGAAAAAUAGGAUGCAGCCAUCCAACAAUAAUCAAUUUAUUAAAAAAAAAAAAUGAACCAGGGCGAUCGUUUGGAGUGUUACAGUAGAUUUGGGACUAGGAGAAAGACAUCUCCUCGAACAGAUGGUGCUAUCAAUAGAUUAUCUCUAAAGGAUCGCUUUAAAAACUCUAUAGAGGUAAGACGGGGCUUAGAGGAGCAAUACAAUGUGGCAAUAGUAAGUGCGAUAACAAUACGGAGGAGGUUGCAGGAGUAUGGUUUGAAUGCGCGGAAACCAGCGGCUUUUCACCAAUAAAAUGAGGCUUGCUCGUUUUGAAUGGGGGAAAACGCAUUGUAACUGGUCCUUAGAGCAGUGGAAAACGGUAAUAUGGUCGGAUGAAAGCAGAUUUAAUUUGCACUGCAACGACCAUUUACCGUAUGUCCGCCGAUUUCCGGGGGUAACGUUUCGCCGAAAAUUGUGUGACGAGAACGGUUAAGCAUCUUGAAAGCCAAAUGGUCUGGGCGUGCUUUUCUUUUUACAUCCGAGGUCCUUUACUUUUUAUUGAUGGGAUGAUGAACGCUGAGAAGUGUGAAGAAGUUGUAUCCCAUUUUAUCGUGCUCGUCGUAGAAGACCAAUAUGAGCAUACUUCUAAGACCAUCUUCAAGGACGACUCCGCACCGUGCCGUCGGGCUAAAUCGGUUCAGAAAAUGUUUGCAGUCCUUGGGAUAUCGCAUAUGUCAUGACCAGAAAAUUCUCCCAAUUUGAACCCGAUUGGGAAUCUUUGGCAUGCCAUGAAAAUGAAAGUAGCUCAACACCGGCUAAGCUCAAAGGCCGAACUGAAAAAAAUACUUAGUAAGGUGUGGGAGCAGGGAGUCUCAACCGAAUGCCUUGAAAAAAGGUUUGUUUCAAUGCCUGCCCGGUCCAAACAGCUAUAGCCGCCAACUGCAUAUAAACACUUUGAUUAAAUAUUCAAUAAUAUAUCAUAUCAAAAAAAUAAGAGUAAUUUUACUCAAAUAUUAAAAAAUUUGAAUAAAAAAUAAAGAUUCUUAUUUAAAUAUAAGAAAAAAUUA